rnacentral:rRNA from 1 species
AGAACGAACGCUGGCGGCAUGCCUAACACAUGCAAGUCGAACGAGACCUUCGGGUCUAGUGGCGCACGGGUGCGUAACGCGUGGGAAUCUGCCCUUGGGUUCGGGAUAACAGUUGGAAACGACUGCUAAAUACCGGAUGAUGUCUUCGGACCAAAGAUUUAUCGCCUUUAGAUGUGCCCGCGUUGGAUUAGCUAGUUGGUGGGGUAAAGGCCUACCAAGGCGACGAUCCAUAGCUGGUCUGAGAGGAUGAUCAGCCACACUGGGACUGAGACACGGCCCAGACUCCUACGGGAGGCAGCAGUGGGGAAUAUUGGACAAUGGGCGAAAGCCUGAUCCAGCAAUGCCGCGUGAGUGAUGAAGGCCUUAGGGUUGUAAAGCUCUUUUACCAGGGAUGAUAAUGACAGUACCUGGAGAAUAAGCUCCGGCUAACUCCGUGCCAGCAGCCGAC